CCUCUUCAGUAGCCAUGGAAUUUGUUGGAUGAUUUGAACUUUGACAACUCUCAAAUAUAUUGUUCCUGCAAAGUUUCUAUAAGGAUCACAAGAACAGGCAGCUAUUGGAGGGCUUUAUAAAUGAGGGCCGAACCCUGGGGGUCUUUGGAUAUUAUCAGGAGAAAUAAACUAUCAGAUAAAAGCAAUGAGUAAAAACUAUGAAAUAGGGUUUCUUACAGGACUCAGUCGCUUAGUUCAUUUAACAGACCAAUAUUAGUAUGUUCUGUCCUCUCCCCAUACUCUCCUGCCCUUUCUCUCCUUCCAACUCCAUUCAAGAAUAGUGUUUUGGUAGUAUUUUAGUCUUAUGUCAAAUUUUUAUACAAGUUAACAAGGAAGUUCAAAAGCUAUGGGGAAGUAGAGCUACAUACAAAGGCAGCUCACUGAGGCAAUGGAAGCAGGGACACGUGACCUGGGAAGAAUACAUGGAUGCCAUCCAAACAUGCAGAGAUGGGAUGAGGAAAGCCAAGGCACAGAUGCAACUGAACUUGGUGAAGGGUGUGAAAAAUAACAAGAAGGGAUUCUAUAGGUGUGCUGAGCAGAAGAGAGUGUGUUGAGCCGAGGAGAGUACAACCCCUCUGAUAAAUGAGAAGGGAGAACUGGCUUCAACAGACGUGGGGAAGACUGAGGAACUCAAGUUCUUUGCCUCAGUCUUCACUGGCAGUCAGGCUUCCCACAUCUCUAAUGCCCCAGAACCUCUAGUGGGGAGUCAGGGGAGCAAAAGUCCAAGUGUUUCCCAUGGGCAGUUUACAACAUUGACCGUAUACUGAAAAUAGCUUUAGUUUUCUUGUUUGACUUUUUUGACCAGAUGGAAAUUUCAGGUCCACAGAAGGACUAUCAUGCACACUUUCUUGGAUUGUUUUGCCCUCUGGUUGCAGAAUUGCUGGUCCUGGUUAGAAUCCUUAUACAGUGCGGAGGAGCACUUCAUGCCAUAGUGUAUCCAAACUGAUGGGACAUUGCUGAGAAUGGAGCUAAAACUCUUUGCAAGCAGGUAUGUCAGUACUUUCACUCAAUAUUCCCAAGCCUUAUUUUACAUUAUGAAGGAGAUGUCAGUACUUCCUUCAAACGUAUCAAAUGGACAUUACACUUUUCUUUAAAACCAUGACUGCUGUUCAUGCUUACCUGCUUGUAAAAAACCUCUAUAUAAAGAAUGCUCAAGGGAUUGUCAAAAGCAAAGAUUUUUCUCUGGAAAUGUGGGGUUUAAAUUCCUCUGAGUGAUGAAAGGGCAAAUAAGCCUGUGUCAACAGACCAUAACACAGCUAGGCAUUUACACACUGGCAGGUAUGUAAAGACCACCAGUUGUGUUUUAAAAGCUGCUCUCAUUGCAUUUUGGGAGGUUCUGAGAACACCUGCUGCAUUAGGUUGCUGAGAGGAGGCAAGCAGAAAAGUUUCUGUUUUGCUAAUGCUGAUGAGGAAGAGAAACAAGGAAGGCUUCAGGCUUCAUGAGCUGCCAGCCUGGGGGACUGCCACGAGGAAGGCACUGCUAGGAUGGUGGGAUGGUGGGGUGACUGGGAAGGACUUUCUGGGACUUUGUUUUAAAUAUUUAACUCAGGUAAUUAUGUCUUUUUUUUUUUUUUUUUUUUUUUUUUUUUUUUUUUUUUUUGAAAACUGAAUUCCUGCAUGCCCCAAAGACUGCAGCUAUACUAAGUGUUUCUCUUCUUGGGAGAAAAAGCUAUGCACCAGGUGCAAAAAAUGGAGAACAAAGUAUCUGUACCCUGAAGGCCCUGGGACAAAAAGAAUUCCAGCCUGCAAACUUCACCUCUUGCUGAAGAUAAAGACAAAAGUCUUAGAGAUUCUUACCAGUCUAUCCCAGAGCAAACUACUUUUCCACCACCAAAUCUGGAGGUUGGCCUGACUCUGAGCCUUCCAUCAGUGGUCUAACCCCACUGCUGUCUGUUUCCAGCUGGUGGCUAAAGUCUGAUACUUUAGAAAGUGGUAGGUGGGUAGGAGAAGUAAUCAAAGUACGUGUAGAAAGGAGAGAAGGAAUUCUUUCGUAGCCUGAAGGCAAUCAUGUGAAGUCCUCAGGACUGAUUGCAAGCUGUGAUUUGGAGUUUCUCCCACUGAAGGAUGCUUAUCGGUGAUUGGAUCUUGCCGUGCUUUUAUCAGUAAAAUUUUAAAAGCUCUCUACUCCCAGAUAUCCAUCCCAUGUGCUAAUACAUAUGCAAAAUACCCAAAUCACCUCAGGCUUUUUUUUUUUUUAAGUGAAUAUAUUGUGGUUCUUACAUCUCCCCCACUGCAGUUUGCAUGGCAGCCCAUAGGACAGCCUUGUGGUUCCCACCCAUUUAAAACCUCUGUAGUAUUUCCUCAGCCUCCCUUUAGGAGUGGGGACAAGGAAUGCAAUGCCAGCUUCUAGCAAUCACUAACUAAUGCCCUAUGCAGAGCUCACAUCUCUGUAUUUGCUUUCUAAAUAACUAUCAGAUACUAUUUGUUAGAGCACUUCACUAAGCAUUUAUUAAAUGUAAGCAAUAGUGUACCUGCAGAUAGACCUCCACCUUCGGGAGCAAGUUCAGGCUGUCCCCCAGGAAGGCGUUUGUGGUUAAUCACACAGGAUUCAGGAGGGUUUGGCAUGGCCUCUUGGGCAAUCUUAAGUAAUGAAGUUGACCUUUCUGCAUUGCCGUCUCUCUUACCUCAGCCCCAUUUCUUUAAGGCGUGUGCAAUACUUGCACUGCUCUAAUCCCACCUGGUCUAUCUGCAGGCGCAUCUGCACAAGUGGUGACUCUGCCUGCACACUGAGUCAGCCGAGUGAAAGCCUCCUCCGAGCUAGAAGCUGUUUAGACGUGUUGCUGAAGGCUGUGCCCAUUCUAAUGCUUUUCUCCACAGAGAAAAAAAACAUGCUGAGUUGCUGAAUUAACUGUUGUCGGGCUCCUCAAGCAUGAAAAUGACCAGUGUUCUCCAGCACACAAAGCUUUCAUGCCAAAGACAUUUCAGGUCUCACACUGCUCCUGUCCAGCAUCUAUGCGCCCAGUGCUUGCACUCAGCCCGCUUUCCUGCCUCACUCCCUCCCCAGUUCCCCUGGUCAGCCCAUAUGAG
rnacentral:lncRNA from 1 species